GGGAGAGGAUGACCUACAAAGGGACAGAUUUGGGAUGCCAUGGAGGGGCCUGGCAGUUUAUAAAUCAAAUCCUGGUUGGGCACAGGAUUGCAUGCCUGUAAUCCCAGUGCCUAGGAGGCUGAGGCAGGAGGAUCACAAGUUCAAAGGCAGCCUCAGCAAUGGUGAGGCACUAAGCAACUCAGUGAGACCCUGUCUCUAAAUAAAAUACAAAAUAGAGCUGGGUAUGUGGCUCCAUGUUCGAGUGUCCCUGAGUUCAAUCCUUGGUAUCCCUCCCAAAAGAAGUCAAAUCUUGAUUGUAAAAGUUGACACUCUGAAGGGAGAACACCUUGCUUGGUUGUUGGCAUUAAUGGGACGCUUUUCUCCAUUAUCAAUUGUUCACUCUGCACAAGCAAUUUCCUGCCAUUUUGCCAGCUAUGAUUGCCACUACAUCCAUGUGAAGGGCACCAGUCAAGAAAACAUUAAAGAAGAAAUUAUAGAACAAAUUAAUCAAUUCUACAGUGUGGAAAUCAGCAUAGACUAGUAGGUACACUUGCAUGAAAUAACCAAGUAGAGAUGACUGAGGUUUCUUGUCUUCACAUGUUUAAUUAAUCCCUAAUUUAAUUUGAAAUGAAAGACUGGGGGAAUUCUGAAUACAAAGGAGCAAACAUAUAGAUUUGGGACUUCGAUGAAGGAUCACUAGUGCUUAUGGAUGAGGGGCAUUACACAGUGUUUCAUGUGCUUUCUAAUUGAUACACAUCACUUGGAAAGUAUUUGUUUUUUCGUAGUGGAUCAAUGAUGCUGAUGAGUAAUAGACAAAUUAUCAAUCGGGGCAAUUUAAUAAACAUCUUUACUUUUUAUAAAACACACAUUUUAGGCCCUGAAUCAAGAAACUCUUCCUAUUUAUUUUAUUGGUAUGAGAUAAUGAUAAUGCAGGCAUGCCCCUUCCUGCAAGAGACUGAGAGUGAUGAUGACUCUGGGUCAUCCAGGAUGUUGUAAGGGAUGCCACAUAGCCACUGGGAACCUUCAAAAUAGCUUUCCAGAGUGGAGAAUCUUGCUUCUCCCUUUAGAACCUACAAAUGCGUCCCCUGUCUGAAAAUGCUCCAUGUUUGUGGAUUCAACCAACUGAAAUAUUGGAAAAUAUUUAAAUAUUUUAAUAUUUCAAAAAAUUAUAUCUGUACAGAACAUGUACAGGCAUUUUUUUCUUAUUAUUAUUUCCUAAAUAAUACAGCUUAACAAUUACAUAGCAUUUAUAUUGUACCAGGUACUAUAAGUAAUUUAGAGGUGAUUUGAAGCAUCUGGGAGGAGGUACAGAGGUUAUUUUAUUAAAGGGACUUGAGUAUUCAUGGACUUUGGUAUCUAAUGGGGGAUCUUCAACUGUACAUUAGUUUGUGAGGUUGUGCUGAAUAAACACAUUCCAUAUUUAUUUUAAUUACUCUGUAAGUUAGAAUUUAUGGGCACAUUUAGAAUAACAAUAGAAUAAUCAAUAACAAUAGAAUAAUCAAAUAACAAUGCCAAACUAUAUAAUUCUAAGGUAUAAAACAAUUCCAUUUCCCCUUUCUCAUUUUUUUUCACCAGAACCCAGUAGAAUAGUCUGUAUAGCCCCUGCUAUAAAGGAGGAAUUAGAGUCCCAGAGAUUGGUCUAAGUUACAGAGCUACAUUUCAGAGUCAAGCCUAUUCAGAAAUCAUUCUUUCCACCAUACCCUGCUGUUUGAUCAAAAAUAAACAACACAUAAGGUAAUCUAAAUUGUUUUAUUAAUAAUGGUGCAGGGUGUGUUGUGGCCUGUCUGUAAUCAUAGCUUGGCUGAGGCAAGAGGAUUGCAAGUGAGGCCAGCCUCAGCAACUUAGCAAGAAACCGAAAAUACAAAAUAAAAAGGGCUCAGAUGUAGAUUAGUGGAGAGUGCCCCUGGGUUCCAUCUCUAGUAAAAUACCAGGGGGGAAAAAAAAGAUAAAACUAAGUAAACCAGUACCAAAUGGCACCACUUUCACUAGUAUGAUCUUAUCAGAGUUGCACCCUCAAAGUGGUUCAAGCAAGUAAAGAUAAACAGAGAGAAGGACAGUGAACUGUUGUGACUUAGCAUCACCCCCACCCCCCAAAUGUGUUCAGAGACGCUGAUAGUUGGGAAUCCAUUGGCUCUGUGCAGGUAGGUCUGUUUUUCAAAUGUUGGCAAGAGAAUUAUUUGGAUUUCAAAACUUGUUUUAUUUACUAAUCAAAAUAAUUAUCAUAGCAUUUUUUCCCUAUUUAACCAUUUGUAGAGGCUAGAAUUCUCUUGUCUUUGUCGGGAAAAGACCACCGUGUUCCAUACACUCAUUCUGUUUGGUAUUGUUUCCAGGAUACUUGUAUUUUUUGAGCUGAACUUGUGAAAUGAGAAAGAAUUAAUCUUUGAAACAGCCCUUAAGUAUAACUAUUUUAAAGGAAAUCAGAAGAAACAAGGAAUCCUAGGAAAAAAAGUUUUCUGACUGGAAUGACAUAAUUUUUCCUAUUAUUUUCAAAAUCGAGAAACAUUGGGCACUUCAUUGUAUGAAGUUAAUUUUGCAGUAUUUGAAAGGAUAUAAAAACAGUAAAAAUGAAAUAUUACUCUUUUUGGAAAACUGAUUUGGGUUUAUAACUAAUAAACAUGGCAUAUGAUUUAAGUAUGUUCAGUCAGUUCCUUUCAUUGAAUUCGCUCUUUAUUC
rnacentral:lncRNA from 1 species